UGGGGAAUAUUGCACAAUGGGCGAAAGCCUGAUGCAGCAACGCCGCGUGAGUGAUGAAGGCCUUCGGGUUGUAAAGCUCUGUCUUUUGGGACGAUAAUGACGGUACCAAAGGAGGAAGCCACGGCUAACUACGUGCCAGCAGCCGCGGUAAUACGUAGGUGGCAAGCGUUGUCCGGAUUUACUGGGCGUAAAGGAUGCGUAGGCGGAUUUUUAAGUGAGAUGUGAAAUACCCGGGCUUAACUUGGGUGCUGCAUUUCAAACUGGGAAUCUAGAGUGCGGGAGAGGAGAAUGGAAUUCCUAGUGUAGCGGUGAAAGUGCGUAGAGAUUAGGAAGAACACCAGUGGCGAAGGCGAUUCUCUGGACCGUAACUGACGCUGAGGCAUGAAAGCGUGGGUAGCAAACAGGAUUAGAUACCCUGGUAGUCCACGCCGUAAACGAUGAGUACUAGGUGUAGGAGGUAUCGACCCCUUCUGUGCCGCAGUUAACACAAUCAAGUACUCCGCCUGGGAAGUACGAUCGCAAGAUUAAAACUUAAAUGAAUUGACGGGGUCAUAGCUGUUUUCCU
rnacentral:rRNA from 1 species